AUUGAACGCUGGCGGCAGGCCUAACACAUGCAAGUCGAGCGGAUGAAGGGAGCUUGCUCCUGGAUUCAGCGGCGGACGGGUGAGUAAUGCCUAGGAAUCUGCCCGGUAGUGGGGGAUAACGUCCGGAAACGGGCGCUAAUACCGCAUACGUCCUGGGGGAGAAGGUGGGGGCUUUUGGCCCCUCGCUCUCUGAUGUGCCCCUAGGUCGGAUUAGCUAGUUGGUGGGGUAAAGGCCUACCAAGGCGACGAUCCGUAACUGGUCUGAGAGGAUGAUCAGUCACACUGGAACUGAGACACGGUCCAGACUCCUACGGGAGGCAGCAGUGGGGAAUAUUGGACAAUGGGCGAAAGCCUGAUCCAGCCAUGCCGCGUGUGUGAAGAAGGUCUUCGGAUUGUAAAGCACUUUAAGUUGGGAGGAAGGGCAGUAAGUUAAUACCUUGCUGUUUUGACGUUACCAACAGAAUAAGCACCGGCUAACUUCGUG
rnacentral:rRNA from 1 species